CAGUCGCCACGGGAAUACGAAGGGGGCUAGCGUUGUUCGGAAUUACUGGGCGUAAAGCGCACGUAGGCGGAUAUUUAAGUCAGGGGUGAAAUCCCAGAGCUCAACUCUGGAACUGCCUUUGAUACUGGGUAUCUUGAGUAUGGAAGAGGUUAGUGGAAUUGCGAGUGUAGAGGUGAAAUUCGUAGAUAUUCGCAGGAACACCAGUGGCGAAGGCGGCUAACUGGUCCAUAACUGACGCUGAGGUGCGAAAGCGUGGGGAGCAAACAGGAUUAGAUACCCCUGUAGUCCCUGUCUCUUAUAC
rnacentral:rRNA from 1 species